UCCAGACUCCUACGGGAGGCAGCAGUGGGGGAUAUUGCACAAUGGGGGGAACCCUGAUGCAGCGACGCCGCGUGGGUGAAGGAGCGUUUCGGCGCGUAAAGCCCUAUCGGCAGGGAAGAAGGAGGACGGUACCUGACUAAGAAGCCCCGGCUAACUACGUGCCAGCAGCCGCGGUAAUACGUAGGGGGCAAGCGUUAUCCGGAUUUACUGGGUGUAAAGGGGGCGCAGACGGCAGCGCAAGCCAGGAGUGAAAGCCCGGGGCCCAACCCCGGGACUGCUCUUGGAACUGCGCGGCUGGAGUGCAGGAGGGGCAGGCGGAAUUCCUGGUGUAGCGGUGAAAUGCGUAGAUAUCAGGAGGAACACCGGUGGCGAAGGCGGCCUGCUGGACUGCAACUGACGUUGAGGCCCGAAAGCGUGGGGAGCAAACAGGAUUAGAUACCCCGGUACU
rnacentral:rRNA from 1 species